GACGAACGCUGGCGGCGUGCUUAACACAUGCAAGUCGAACGGAAAGGCUCCAGCUUGCUGGAGUACUCGAGUGGCGAACGGGUGAGUAACACGUGGGUAAUCUGCCCUGCACUCUGGGAUAAGCCUGGGAAACUGGGUCUAAUACUGGAUAUGACCUUUCUCCUUAUGGGGUUUGGUGGAAAGUUUUUCGGUGUAGGAUGAGCCCGCGGCCUAUCAGCUUGUUGGUGGGGUGAUGGCCUACCAAGGCGACGACGGGUAGCCGGCCUGAGAGGGUGAUCGGCCAAAUUGGGACUGAGAUACGGCCCAGACUCCUACGGGAGGCAGCAGUGGGGAAUAUUGCACAAUGGGCGGAAGCCUGAUGCAGCGACGCCGCGUGAGGGAUGACGGCCUUCGGGUUGUAAACCUCUUUCAGCAGGGACGAAGCGUAAGUGACGGUACCUGCAGAAGAAGCACCGGCUAACUAUGUG
rnacentral:rRNA from 1 species